GUGGGGAAUCUUGCGCAAUGGGCGAAAGCCUGACGCAGCCAUGCCGCGUGAAUGAUGAAGGUCUUAGGAUUGUAAAAUUCUUUCACCGGGGACGAUAAUGACGGUACCCGGAGAAGAAGCCCCGGCUAACUUCGUGCCAGCAGCCGCGGUAAUACGAAGGGGGCUAGCGUUGCUCGGAAUUACUGGGCGUAAAGGGAGCGUAGGCGGUUAUACAAGUCAGGAGUGAAAUCCCAGGGCUCAACCCUGGAAUUGCUUUUGAAACUGUAUAGCUAGAGUCCCGGAGGGGUUAAUGGAAUUCCGAGUGUAGAGGUGAAAUUCGCAGAUAUUCGGAGGAACACCAGUGGCGAAGGCGAUUAACUGGACGGGCACUGACGCUGAGGCACGAAAGCGUGGGGAUCAAACAGGAUUAGAAACCCGAGUAGUCC
rnacentral:rRNA from 1 species